GCCGGGAUGGCGGAAUUGGUAGACGCAGCGGACUUAAAAUCCGCCGGGCUGACCCCCGUGCCGGUUCGAGUCCGGCUCUCGGCACCA
rnacentral:tRNA from 1 species